CCUACGGGUGGCAGCAGUGAGGAAUAUUGGUCAAUGGGCGCGAGCCUGAACCAGCCAAGUCGCGUGAAGGAUGAAUGCACUGCGGGUUGUAAACCUCUUUUAUCAGGGAAUAAAGUGAGGCACGAGUGCCUUUUUGUAUGUACUUUAUGAAUAAGGAUCGGCUAACUCCGUGCCAGCCGCGGUAAUACGGAGGAUCCGAGCGUUAUCCGGAUUUAUUGGGUUUAAAGGGAGGGUAGGUGGGUUGUUAUGUCAGUUGUGAAAGUUUGCGGCUCAACCGUAAAAGUGCAAUUGAAACUGGCAGCCUUGAGUACAGUUGAGGUAGGCGGAAUGCGUGGUGUAGCGGUGAAAUGCUUAGAUAUCACGAAGAACUCCGAUUGCGAAGGCAGCUUACUAAACUGCCACUGACAUUGAUGCUCGAAAGUGUGGGUAUCAAACAGGAUUAGAUACCCCUGUAGUC
rnacentral:rRNA from 1 species